rnacentral:rRNA from 1 species
CGGAUGCUAAUACCGCAUAUAUCUUUUCGCCUCCUGGCGAUUAGAAAAAAGACGGCUUCGGCUGUCACUUAUAGAUGGACCCGCGGCGCAUUAGUUAGUUGGUGAGGUAAUGGCUCACCAAGACGAUGAUGCGUAGCCGACCUGAGAGGGUGAUCGGCCACACUGGGACUGAGACACGGCCCAGACUCCUACGGGAGGCAGCAGUAGGGAAUCUUCCGCAAUGGACGAAAGUCUGACGGAGCAACGCCGCGUGAGUGAAGAAGGUUUUCGGAUCGUAAAACUCUGUUGUUAGAGAAGAACAAGGGUGAGAGUAACUGUUCACCCCUUGACGGUAUCUAACCAGAAAGCCAUGGCUAACUACGUGCCAGCAGCCGCGGUAAUACGUAGAUGGCAAGCGUUGUCCGGAUUUAUUGGGCGUAAAGCGAGCGCAGGCGGUUCUUUAAGUCUGAUGUGAAAGCCCCUGGCUCAACCAGGGAGGGUCAUUGGAAACUGGAGAACUUGAGUGCAGAAGAGGAAAGUGGAAUUCCAUGUGUAGCGGUGAAAUGCGUAGAUAUAUGGAGGAACACCAGUGGCGAAGGCGACUUUCUGGUCUGUAACUGACGCUGAGGCUCGAAAGCAUGGGGAGCAAACAGGAUUAGAUACCCUGGUAGUCCAUGCCGUAAACGAUGAGUGCUAAGUGUUGGAGGGUUUCCGCCCUUCAGUGCUGGAGCUAACGCAUUAAGCACUCCGCCUGGGGAGUACGACCGCAAGGUUGAAACUCAAAGGAAUUGACGGGGGCCCGCACAAGCGGUGGAGCAUGUGGUUUAAUUCGAAGCAACGCGAAGAACCUUACCAGGUCUUGACAUCCUUUGACCACUCUAGAGAUAGAGCUUUCCCUUCGGGGACAAAGUGACAGGUGGUGCAUGGUUGUCGUCAGCUCGUGUCGUGAGAUGUUGGGUUAAGUCCCGCAACGAGCGCAACCCUUAUUAUUAGUUGCCAGCAUUCAGUUGGGCACUCUAGUGAGACUGCCGGUGAUAAACCGGAGGAAGGUGGGGAUGACGUCAAAUCAUCAUGCCCCUUAUGACCUGGGCUACACACGUGCUACAAUGGAUGGUACAACGAGUCGCAAGGUCGCGAGGCCAAGCUAAUCUCUUAAAGCCAUUCUCAGUUCGGAUCGUAGGCUGCAAUUCGCCUACGUGAAGCCGGAAUCGCUAGUAAUCG